UGCAGAGGUCCCAAGCGUUGUUCGGAUUCACUGGGCGUAAAGGGUGCGUAGGUGGCCGGGUAAGUCUGACGUGAAAUCUCCAAGCUCAACUUGGAAACUGCAUCGGAUACUAUCCGGCUCGAGGAUCGGAGGGGAGACUGGAAUGCUUGGUGUAGCAGUGAAAUGCGUAGAUAUCAAGUGGAACACCAGUGGCGAAGGCGAAUCCCUGGAAAAUACCUGACACUGAGGCACGAAAGCUAGGGGAGCAAACAGG
rnacentral:rRNA from 1 species